rnacentral:rRNA from 1 species
UACGGAGGGUGCGAGCGUUUGUCCGGAAUCACUGGGCGUAAAGGGCGCGUAGGCGGCCUGAUAAGUAGGGGGUGAAAUCCUGCGGCUUAACCGCAGGGCUGCCUUCUAAACUGUCAGGCUCGAGCACAGUAGAGGCAGGUGGAAUUCCCGGUGUAGCGGUGGAAUGCGUAGAGAUCGGGAAGAACAUCAGUGGCGAAGGCGGCCUGCUGGGCUGUUGCUGACGCUGAGGCGCGACAGCGUGGGGGAGCAAACAGG